rnacentral:rRNA from 13 species
CGAGCGCAACCCACGUCUUUAGUUGCCAGCAUUUAGUUGGGCACUCUAGAGAGACCGCCGGUGAUAAACCGGAGGAAGGUGUGGAUGACGUCAAGUCAUCAUGCCCCUUACAUCCUGGGCUACACACGUACUACAAUGCUACGGACAAAGGGCAGCAAGUUCGCGAGGACAAGCAAAUCCCAUAAACCGUGGCUCAGUUCAGAUCGUAGGCUGCAACUCGCCUACGUGAAGGAGGAAUCGCUAGUAAUCGCAGGUCAGCCAUACGGCGGUGAAUCCGUU